rnacentral:tRNA from 1 species
AGGAGAUUAGCUCAGUUGGUUAGAGCAUCUGCCUUACAAGCAGAAUGUCAGCAGUUCGAAUCUGCUAUCUCCUACCA